GACAACCCUGAUCAAAACUGCCUCUCUCUCUUGUGUGGUUGAUGUGAUCAAAAAGCGGCUGAAAGUGACUUUUUUGUUAACAGUCACUGUUCAGUUAUUGUAACUAUCCAGUGACAUUUCACAAAAAUAAACCU
rnacentral:snoRNA from 1 species